rnacentral:lncRNA from 1 species
AUGGUGUCUCAGGCUUCCACAUCGAUCCCAACAAUGGAAAUGAAUCAAGCAACAAGAUUGCUGAUUUCUUCGAGAAAUGCAAGGCAGAUCCUGAAUGUUGGAACAAGAUGUCAGCAGCUGGCUUGCAACGCAUACAUGAAUGGUAAUUGACAUUAAACGACUACUUAGUUUAUGAAGAUCCAACCAUUUAAUUAUACUUUUCCAUUACCCUUAACCACACUUGCAUUAUCCUUUCAGCUAUACAUGGAAGAUUUAUGCAAAUAAAGUGUUGAACAUGGGAUCAGUUUAUGGAUUUUGGAGGCAGCUAAACAAGGAACAAAAACAUGCUAAGCAGAGAUACAUUGAAACAUUUUACAAUCUUCAUUUCAGGAAUUUGGUGAGUUAUUUGGGUUCAUUUUUGUAUCAUUCCCUUAGUGGGAACUUAGUACAUUAAGCAUGAAUAUAAUAUAUUGAGAUCCUUGCCGAUUGGAAUUCACUAAAGCACCUUAUGCAAUAGGUCAAGAAUGUUCCCAUCGCAAGUGUUGGACCCCAGAAACAGCCUUCAUCAUCAGCUGGAACAAGUAAAACCCAAGAACCAUCACCUCCUGCUACAACUAAAUCUUCACAAUCACAACCAACUCCAAAACCUAAGCGAAAAGAAGAAUCCCAGAAGGAGAAGCCUAAACCUGAGACAAUAACAACCAGGCAUGUCAUCUAACUCUACCUCAAUCUAAUCACACUUCACAUAUUUCCUUGUUAGUAUAAAAGAACUAAACAAGCUAACUUUAUGUUACUGUUGACAGUAGCACGCAAGCCCAGCCUCAAAGGUAAAGACAAUUAACAUUCUUUUUUAAGGCUUUGUUACCCUUGAAAGAUGGACUGAUCUUCACCAUUUUAUAUCUUCCACUUUCACCAUUUUUGCUUUGCAGGAAAGAGCAGAAGGAACUUGCGUCCUC